CGUCUAUCGGACGCUGCUUCCUGCUGCAUCUAGCGGGGGGAUAUCCGCCAACGGAAAAUCCCGAGGCUACGCCUCACUCUGACAACGACCGCCACGCGGCGUUACCGUCAGACCGUCCCUACGGGACACGGGGACUAGUCAAACAGUCUACGACGGCCCUGAUCAGGCACGUUGACCCCCGUCAUUUGGGUGCUAAACAUUGGGCUCGCUACCCAACACCCUCUGCUCCGUUCAGCUCCCCCUCAUCAAACAAAUUACCGACCAUCCGGAGGUCUAUCUUCGCCGGGGAGUGGGGGACUCCCUGGGGGGCCCAGCAGGGGCCCACCCGAAAGGGUAUAAAGCGUUUGAUCAGUAAAACCAACGGUUGACAACGCACUGACGCUAAUUAUGCUCUUGCAAGUCUAGCGGAAGAAAACGCUUCAAACCGCCGAACAACUCCCCAACCAAGAUUGCCCUCCUUGACUGGGGACUUGGGGGACUUGUACAUACAUGUACAUUUGCAAGCAUAAUUAGCUAUAAUGAGCCACGCUCAUUGUACCGCCAAAGGUACUAAUUCCAACUAAAGGAAUGACAUGUAGACGCACCGCCAGGCGGGCUACAACCUCAGCGUUGAACCAUCCCCAGAUCGCCGGCGACGCGCCGCCACGCUCCACGC
rnacentral:lncRNA from 1 species